AGAGUUUGAUCCUGGCUCAGGAUGAACGCUAGCGGCAGGCCUAAUACAUGCAAGUCGAACGGAUGUAGCAAUACAUUAGUGGCGCACGGGUGCGUAACGCGUAUGCAACCUACCUUUCAGAGGGGGAUAGCCCGGGGAAACCCGGAUUAAUACCGCAUAAGAUAGUUGACUGGCAUCAGUUAAUUAUGAAACAUUUAUGGCUGAAAGAUGGGCAUGCGUUAGAUUAGCUAGUUGGUGAGGUAGAAGCUCACCAAGGCGAUGAUCUAUAGGGGUUCUGAGAGGAAGAUCCCCCACACUGGUACUGAGACAGGGACCAGACUCCUACGGGAGGCAGCAGUAGGGAAUAUUGGGCAAUGGAGGCAACUCUGACCCAGCCAUGCCGCGUGCAGGAAGAAGGCCUUCUGGGUUGUAAACUGCUUUUGGAAGUGAACAAAAAGACACUGCGGUGUAAAUUGAGUGUAGCUUCAGAAUAAGCACCGGCUAACUCCGUGCCAGCAGCCGCGGUAAUACGGAGGGUGCAAGCGUUGUCCGGAUUUAUUGGGUUUAAAGGGUGCGUAGGCGGCUACUUAAGUCAGGGGUGAAAGACGAUUGCUUAACAAUCGCAGUGCCUUUGAUACUGAGUAGCUUGAGUACAGAUGAGGCAGGCGGAAUGGGUGGUGUAGCGGUGAAAUGCAUAGAUACCAUCCAGAACACCGAUUGCGAAGGCAGCCUGCUAAACUGUAACUGACGCUGAGGCACGAAAGCGUGGGGAUCGAACAGGAUUAGAUACCCUAGUAGUCC
rnacentral:rRNA from 1 species